GGGCCCGUAGCUCAGCCAGGCAGAGCGGCGGGCUCCAGACCCGUAGGUCAGGGGUUCGAAUCCCCUCGGGCCCA
rnacentral:tRNA from 5 species